CCUACGGGGCGCAGCAGUGGGGAAUAUUGGACAAUGGGCGAAAGCCUGAUCCAGCCAUGCCGCGUGUGUGAAGAAGGCCUUCGGGUUGUAAAGCACUUUCAGUGGGGAAGAAAGCCUUGGGGCUAAUACCCUCGAGGAAGGACAUCACCCACAGAAGAAGCACCGGCUAACUCCGUGCCAGCAGCCGCGGUAAUACGGAGGGUGCGAGCGUUAAUCGGAAUUACUGGGCGUAAAGCGCGCGUAGGCGGUCUGAUAAGCCGGUUGUGAAAGCCCCGGGCUCAACCUGGGAACGGCAUCCGGAACUGUCAGGCUAGAGUGCAGGAGAGGAAGGUAGAAUUCCCGGUGUAGCGGUGAAAUGCGUAGAGAUCGGGAGGAAUACCAGUGGCGAAGGCGGUCUUCUGGACUGACACUGACGCUGAGGUGCGAAAGCGUGGGUAGCAAACAGGAUUAGAUACCCUUGUAGUC
rnacentral:rRNA from 1 species